UCUGUCAGUAUAUGUACCCCUGUGUUUGUUUCACCCAGGGUGGGUGUCACUGGUUGUGUGUAUGUGAGUGCUGGUGUAUGGUGGGGUAGUUAUUAGUUCUGGUGAUUUUCUGUACUGUGUAUUCAAUUAAUUGUUUUUUUUCUUUUGUUCUUUUUCUUACAGAGGGAUGAGUAGUUUAGCCCUGCUCCGGAGUUUACAUACCUGCACGUAGGGUUACUGUCCUGUCUAACAACACUAGCUACACCUGGCUGGGCCAUCUACUGUAAGUUUGGGUAGGGCGCCCUGUUAGUGUGCCAGUUAGUGGUUUUCGUUGGGGUGGGAGGCAUUUUGUUCUUUUCUUUGCUUUGGUACCGCCAGCCCUCCUCAUUUCCCCUGUUAACAGCGCUUAAAUAAAAGCCUGCUUACCCCAACUUUAGGUGAUGUUUGUUUUCUUGCACCUACGACGCCAUACCCGUUUACUGGUCACAGGUCGUCCUCGGGCAGUGACGUGAAUCCCACUCCCCUCCUGGGGAGUCAGAACGUAACAAGGGGGUUGUUACUCAGUUUCAGCUGCAUUGCUGUUGAUGGAAUUAACAACAGGUGCACUAGAGGGGCGACAAUGAGACGGCCCCCAAAACAGGAGUUUCUCCCUAUGGAUCUCUCUGACUGGGUUUUCACUAAUGUUGGCUUUAGCUAGAGUCAUCAUCACUACAGGGAGCAUGAGGCCAUUUCUUAACCCUUCAGAAGUUGCACAGAGUGUCCAGCCCCUCCCGGAUGGCACAAGGAGAUUUAAUGUGGCUCCCAGCACAAUCGCCAGGACAUGGAGGCGAUUCAGGAGACAGGCAGUUACUCUAGGAGAGCUGGACGGGCCGUAGAAGGUCCUCAACCCAUCAGCAGCACCGAAAUCUGCUGCUUUGUGCACGGAGGAACAGGUUGAGUACUGCCCGAGUCCUACAGAAUGACCUCCAGCAGGCCACUGGUCUGAAUGUCUCUGCCCAUCAGAAACAGACUUCAUGGGGGCGGCCUCAUUGCAUGACGUCUUGUAGUGUGCCAUGUGCUCACUGUCCACCCUGGAGCUCCAUUGGCAUUUGCUAUAGAUCACUAGGAUUGACAUCUCCACCACUGGCGCGCUGUCCUUCUCACAGAUGAGAGCAGGUUCCCCCUGAGCACCUGUGAUAGACGUGCAAGGGUCUGAAGAAACGAAGGAGAACAUAUGCUGCCUGCAACAUGGUUCAGCAUGGUGGUGGUCAGUGAUGGUCUAGAGAGGCAUAUCCAUGGAGAGACGCACAGAGGGACGCAAAGACUUCUACAGGCUAGAGAACGUCUGACUGCUAUUGGAGUAUCGGAAUUAAAUCCUUGAACCAUGGUCAGACCAUACGCUGGUGCAGUAGGUCCUGGGUUCCUCGUGGAGCACCACAAUGCCCGGCCUCAUGUGGCAAGCGUAUGCAGGCAGUACCUGGAGGAUGGAGGAAUUGAUUCCAUUGGAUGGCCCUCACAAUCACCUGACCUAAACCCGAUAGAACACCUUUGGGACAUUAUGUCUCGGCCCAUCAGACGCCACCAGGUUGCUCAUCAGACUUUACAGAGGCUCACUGAUGCCCUUAGACAGAUCUGGGAGGACAUCCCACAAGACUCGUCUCAUUAGGAGCAUGCCGCGACGUGUUUAAGCAUCCAUACAAGCAUGUGGGUGGCCACACCAGAUAUUGAAAAGCAUUUUAAGUGUCAGUAAUUGAAUUUAGGCAGACUGCACUAGGCUGCCACAUCAAGUUUUACCUUUUUUAUCAAAGCCCUCUGUAGGCUGAAACUUGUAUUUCCCCACACAAUGUGGCAUCCUUUCGUCCCUAAGCUAUUAAACUGUCCAUAUCAGUGAAGUGAAUUUUUCACAUUGAUAUCUGAUGUGUUCAAUGUGUUUCUUUAAAUCAUUUGAGCAUUGUAUUUCUGUUGUAUGUAUCAAUUUUAAGGACACCAGAUAUGUCUGACUUCAUCAGCUGAUUUAAUGAAAAUGCAAAAACUGAAUUGUUACUUCUAUGCUGUUGCUUUCCAAAAGCAACGUGUUCUGCGUUACCCCUUGAUUCUCGGACGUAUAAAGCAGCGUCACAGAUUGUUCGGUUUAACAAUUAUUUUUAAUGAGCACUCUGAAUACAGUGUUUUCGCCGUUCACACUCUUCAUUUGACCUGCUCUCGUUUCUCAGUCCCUACUGCCCUUUAUUGGGGAGGGAGACACACCCACACACACAGAUUAAGCUCAGCUGAGGCCGAUUAGACCUCAUCCCGGCACCGCUACCUGAACCACCCACUCGCUAGGUUCCCCCUCUGCAGCUGAGCUAACCCUGCCCCACCACCACAUACCUAUAUUUCUGUUUAAUAGGGAAUAUUACAAAUAUAUUGGCUAAUAUUCAUACUUAGUUUAAAUAGUCUGGAAGAUGAGGAGGAAGUUAAGACUACCCUUCGGAAUCAACCUGGCCCAGGUAAUGGCCCGCCGGGCCGUUUGUUUCUGCCUGAACCUCUUCGUUCAACUGUGCUCCAGUGGACACAUACUACGAAGAUUGCUGGUCACCCGGGCGUUACCCGUGCCAUGGCGCUAUUGCGCUGACGCUUCUGGUGGCCAGCCAUGGGAAAGGACACUCAGGGUUUUGUCGCUGCCUGUCCAGUUUGUGCGCAGAAUAAGGGAACCAAUCGAUCCAGUGCAGGACUACUACGUCCUCCACCGAUUCCCAGAUGGCCCUAGUCCCACCUGGCUCUGGACUUGUAACUGGUUUUCCCCCAUCUGAAGGUAACACGUUGUAUCACCCUGGUACGAGACUGCAACUCCAAAGGUUUCUAGGGUUUGCAAAUUUCUAGCGCCGGUUUAUCCAAGACUACAGCCGGGAGGCUGCUCCGUUGACAGCCCUGAUGUCCAGUGCCAGGUCCUUAUGCUGGACCCUCGGAGGCAGACAAAGCAUUCCUGGACCUGAAGAACCAGCACCCAUCCUCACACAGCCAGACACCAAACUUCAGUUCGUGGUGGAGGUGGAUGCAUCUGAUGUAAGGGUUGGCGCCAUCCUGUCCCAACGUAGCUCUGCUGACGGUAAGCUCCAUCCGUGUGCCUUUCUUUCACGUUGUCUCUCCACAGCAGAAAGAAACUAUGACGUAGGAAAUAGGGAACUACUCGCCGUCAAGCUCGCUUUGGAGGAGUCGUGCCACUGGCUAGAGGGAGCUGAGCAACCGUUUAUCGUCUGGACUGACCACAAGAAUCUCGUAUACGUGCAAUCGCCAGACGUCUCAACUCUCAUCAUGCCAGUUGGGCCUUAUUUUUUUGGUCGCUUCAACAUUUCCGUCACGUAUCGACCAGGCUCUUGGAAUGACAAAGCAGACGACUCAUCCCGUGUAUUCUCGAAGACCGAGUAGACGAGGGCCAAGACCGAGACUAUUCUUCCUGGGACAUUGUUGUGGGGGCAGUAGUCUGGAAGAUUGAGGAGGAAGUUAAGACUACCCUUCGGAAUCAACCUGGCCCAGGUAACGGCCCGCUGGGCCGUUUGUUUCUGCCUGAACCUCUUCGUUCAACUGUGCUCCAGUGGACACAUACUACGAAGAUUGCUGGUGACCCGGGCGUUACCCGUGCCAUGGCGCUAUUGCGCUGACGCUUCUGGUGGCCAGCCAUGGGAAAGGACACAGAUUUUGUCGCUGCCUGUCCAGUUUGUGCGCAGAAUAAGGGAACCAAUCGAUCCAGUGCAGGACUACUACAUCCUCUACCGAUUUCCAGAUGGCCCUAGUCCCACCUGGCUCUGGACUUUGUAACUGGUUUUCCCCCAUCUGAAGGUAACACGUUGUAUUAAACGUAGUUGAUAGAUUCAGCAAGUUUGCACACUUUCUGCCUCUCCCGAAACUCCCUUCUGCCACGGAAACGGCUGCAAUCCUGCUCUUCGAAGUUUUUAGGGUCCACUGUCUUCCUAGGGACAUCGUAUCAGACCGACGCCCUCAAUUUACAUCGGCAGUAUGGAAGGCCUUCUCCAGUGCCAUCGGAGCCCCCGCCAGUAUCUUGUCCGGAUUCCACCCCCAGUCCAACGGCCAAGCGGAGAGGGCCAACCAGAAGAUGGAGACAACACUUCGAUGUCUGGUCUCCUCUAAUCCCACCUCCUGAUCCUCUCAGCUUCCUUGGGCAGAAUACGCCCACAACACACCGGCGCCACGGGUAUGUCUGCCUUUCAAUGCCUUUACGGCUACCAACCCCCCUUGUUCCCCUCACAGGAGAAGGAUAUCGCUGUUCCCUCUGUCCAAGCUCAUGUCUGCCGCUGCCACCGGACCUGGCAUCGUGCCAGGGCUGCCCCCUUGAAGGCUUCUGGUCAGUAUCAGGUCCAGGCCAACCGUCGCCGUUCCCCUGCACCCCCCUAUGCUGUGGGGGACAAGGUCUGGCUCAGCCCAUUUGUGGUAGAGAGGAUCACAACCCUGCAGUAGUCCGGCUGAAGCUGCCCAGAUCCCUCAAGGUACACCCCACCUUUCAUGUCUCCUGCAUCAAGCCUGUCCUCCUCAGUCCCCUGCUACCCCCCUCCUCAGCCUCCUCCUUCUUGGAUCAUUGGCGGAGGUCCUGCCUACACGGUGCGCCGCAUCAUGGACUCCCAACAGCAAGGGCGAGGAUUCCAGUACCUCGUGGACUGGGAGGGCUAUGGCCCUGAAGCGAAGUGCUGGAUCCCUCGGCAUGAGAUCCUAGACGCAGACCUGCUGAGGGUUUCUACCAACUCCAUGCGUCCGUCACCACCCCAGCUCCCUGAGUACGUUUUCCUGUUAUCUGUGUCUGUUUGUUUCGGUUGCUGAGCAACGAGGACAAGGCGGGAGGUCCAGGAUCACUAGUGCCCGUUCCCACCUGUGCUCAAUCAAUCUGGUCCCGAUCAUCGUCACAACAGUACUUAAGCCGAGACCUGACAUCCAGUCCCUGCCGGAUCAUAUGCUCUCUAGUUCAUUCACCCUGGAUUCCCGUCACUCCUGCCUGGCAACCUAAACCUUUCAUCACAUCACGACAUCACCGGAAUUCACCUGUCUGCACGUCGGGAAUACCACUUCCUUUGUUCAAUAAAUACUCACCUUGUCACCACCUACA